rnacentral:lncRNA from 1 species
CGUGGCUGUUUCUGAUUAACCUCAGGGUCUGGUUUGUUUUGUUUGUUUUCCUUGCUCAGGCAGUUCCCAUGUGACAGGCGGAGUUGGAAGCUGUCGGUGAGGUCCCGUCGGCUGGAGUUGGACCGGUGAACCGCUCUGCACGGUCUUGCUGCCUGUGUGGUGCUGGGCUUUGAAAUUCUCAAGUGAGCAGCGGGAGAUUCAUGCAGCUCUUAUUGUGAUGGUUUGUAUGGUGUUGUUUUUAAGAGUUCAGAAUAGCCCAGCUGAUCCC